AAGUCGUAACAAGGUUUCCGUAGGUGAACCUGCGGAAGGAUCAUUAUUGAAUUUAAUUUGCCUUGGUUGUCGCUGGCCUUCGGGCAUGUGCACGCCUCGGUUUAUCCAAGUUCUAUCACCACUGUGCACUAUUACAUGGGUUAUUGCAAGCCGGACUUUCAUUAGUUUGGUGGAAUAUAAUCCGUGGCUUUACAUUUAAACGAGUUAGUAUUAGAAUGUCAAUCGCGUUUAACGCAAUUAUAUACAACUUUCAGCAACGGAUCUCUUGGCUCUC
rnacentral:misc_RNA from 1 species